rnacentral:rRNA from 1 species
AGUGAACGCUGGCGGUAGGCCUAACACAUGCAAGUCGAACGGCAGCACAGUAAGAGCUUGCUCUUACGGGUGGCGAGUGGCGGACGGGUGAGGAAUACAUCGGAAUCUACUUUUUCGUGGGGGAUAACGUAGGGACACUUACGCUAAUACCGCAUACGACCUACGGGUGAAAGCAGGGGAUCUUCGGACCUUGCGCGAUUGAAUGAGCCGAUGUCGGAUUAGCUAGUUGGCGGGGUAAAGGCCCACCAAGGCGACGAUCCGUAGCUGGUCUGAGAGGAUGAUCAGCCACACUGGAACUGAGACACGGUCCAGACUCCUACGGGAGGCAGCAGUGGGGAAUAUUGGACAAUGGGCGCAAGCCUGAUCCAGCCAUGCCGCGUGGGUGAAGAAGGCCUUCGGGUUGUAAAGCCCUUUUAUUGGGAAAGAAAAGCAGCAGGUUAAUACCCCGCUGUUCUGACGGUACCCAAAGAAUAAGCACCGGCUAACUUCGUG